GUGGGGAAUAUUGGACAAUGGGCGAAAGCCUGAUCCAGCCAUGCCGCGUGCAGGAAGAAGGCGCUACGCGUUGUAAACUGCUUUUAACCGGGAAGAAACCCCAGGACGUGUCCUGGGUUGACGGUACCGGAGGAAUAAGCACCGGCUAACUUCGUGCCAGCAGCCGCGGUAAUACGAAGGGUGCAAGCGUUAUCCGGAUUCAUUGGGUUUAAAGGGUGCGUAGGCGGAGCGUUAAGUCAGUGGUGAAAUCCUGCAGCUUAACUGUAGACUUGCCAUUGAUACUGGCGCUCUUGAGUGCGCUUGAAGUGGGCGGAAUGUGCCGUGUAGCGGUGAAAUGCUUAGAUAUGGCACAGAACACCAAUUGCGAAGGCAGCUCACUAAGGCGAUACUGACGCUGAGGCACGAAAGCGUGGGGAUCGAACAGGAUUAGAAACCCUGGUAGUCC
rnacentral:rRNA from 1 species